AACGCACCUUGCGCUCCUUGGUAUUCCGAGGAGCAUGCUUGUUUGAGUGUCAUUAAAUUCUCAACCCUUUCAAAGUUUUUAUUCAACUUUGAAGUAGGGCUUGGAUUUGGGUGUUGCAGGCUUUUCAAUAGUCGGCUCUCCUUAAAAGUAUUAGCGGAACUUUUUGUAAGCCGUCUACAUAGUGUGAUAAUUAUCUACGCUAUUGAUGUUGCUUACGUUAAUAUAAUAAAAGUUCAGCUUUCUAAUAGUCCAUUUACUUGGACAAUAUCAAUAUUCGUAUUGAUGACCAUUUGACCUCAAAUCAAGUAGGACUACCCGCUGAACUUAA
rnacentral:misc_RNA from 1 species